GCAUCGCUGGGUAGCUAUGUAUGGACGGGAUAAGUGCUGAAAGCAUCUAAGCAUGAAGCCCCCCUCAAGAUGAGAUUUCCCAACUUCGGUUAUAAGAUCCCUCAAAGAUGAUGAGGUUAAUAGGUUCGAGGUGGAAGCAUGGCGACAUGUGGAGCUGACGAAUACUAAUCGAUCGAAGACUUAAUCAA
rnacentral:ncRNA from 1 species